AUACUAAGAACUUUCCAGAGAUUGGAUUGGUGCCUUCGGGAACUUAGAUACAGGUGCUGCAUGGCUGUCGUCAGCUCGUGUCGUGAGAUGUUGGGUUAAGUCCGCAACGAGCGCAACCCUUUUCCUUAUUUGCCAGCGGGUAAUGCCGGGAACUUUAAGGAUACUGCCAGUGACAAACUGGAGGAAGGCGGGGACGACGUCAAGUCAUCAUGGCCCUUACGGCCAGGGCUACACACGUGCUACAAUGGUCGGUACAAAGGGUUGCUACCUCGCGAGAGGAUGCUAAUCUCAAAAAGCCGAUCGUAGUCCGGAUCGCAGUCUGCAACUCGACUGCGUGAAGUCGGAAUCGCUAGUAAUCGCGGAUCAGAAUGCCGCGGUGAAUACGUUCCCGGGCCUUGUACACACCGCCCGUCACACCAUGGGAGUUUGUUGCACCAGAAGUAGGUAGUCUAACCGCAAGGAGGACGCUUACCACGGUGUGGCCGAUGACUGGGGUGAAGUCGUAACAAGGUAAGCGUAGAUGA
rnacentral:rRNA from 1 species